rnacentral:rRNA from 1 species
UAAUAGCGUAUAUUAAUGUUGUUGCAGUUAAAAAGCUCGUAGUUGGAUUUUGGUGUUUGACAAACGGUCGGCCUUACGGUUGGUACUGUUUGUUGGCACUUCUUUUCUGGGGAACUCACUGUUCUUAAUUGAAGGGUGUUGUAACGCAGAUCGUUUACUUUGAAAAAAUUAGAGUGUUCAAAGCAGGCCGUCGCAUUGAAUACAUUAGCAUGGAAUAAUGGAAUAGGACUUUGGUGCUAUUUUGUUGGUUUCGAACACCGAAGUAAUGAUGAGCAGGGACAGUCAGGGGCACUCGUAUUCCGCCGAGAGAGGUGAAAUUCUCAGACCAGCGGAAGACGAACUACUGCGAAAGCAUUUGCCAGGGAUGUUUUCACUGAUCAAGAACGAAAGUUAGGGGAUCGAAGACGAUCAGAUACCGU